rnacentral:rRNA from 1 species
AUUGAACGCUGGCGGCAUGCUUUACACAUGCAAGUCGAACGGUAACAGGCCUUCGGGUGCUGACGAGUGGCGAACGGGUGAGUAAUGCAUCGGAACGUGCCCAGAGGUGGGGGAUAACGCAGCGAAAGCUGUGCUAAUACCGCAUGUGAUCUGAGGAUGAAAGCGGGGGACCAGGCAGCAAUGUUUGGCCUCGCGCCUUUGGAGCGGCCGAUGUCAGAUUAGGUAGUUGGUGGGGUAAAGGCCUACCAAGCCGACGAUCUGUAGCUGGUCUGAGAGGACGACCAGCCACACUGGGACUGAGACACGGCCCAGACUCCUACGGGAGGCAGCAGUGGGGAAUUUUGGACAAUGGGCGCAAGCCUGAUCCAGCAAUGCCGCGUGCGGGAAGAAGGCCUUCGGGUUGUAAACCGCUUUUGUACGGAACGAAAAGGAUCUGGCUAAUACCUGGGGCUGAUGACGGUACCGUAAGAAUAAGCACCGGCUAACUACGUG